rnacentral:rRNA from 1 species
UACGUAGGGUGCAAGCGUUAAUCGGAAUUACUGGGCGUAAAGCGUGCGCAGGCGGUGAUGUAAGACAGAUGUGAAAUCCCCGGGCUCAACCUGGGAACUGCAUUUGUGACUGCAUCGCUGGAGUACGGCAGAGGGGGAUGGAAUUCCGCGUGUGGCAGUGAAAUGCGUAGAUAUGCGGAGGAACACCGAUGGCGAAGGCAAUCCCCUGGGCCUGUACUGACGCUGAGGAGCGAAAGCAUGGGGAGCGAACAGG